rnacentral:rRNA from 1 species
GAUGAACGCUGGCGGCAUGCUUUACACAUGCAAGUCGGACGGGAAGUGGUGUUUCCAGUGGCGGCCGGGUGAGUAACGCGUAAGAACCUGCCCUUGGGAGGGGAACAACAGCUGGAAACGGCUGCUAAUACCCCGUAGGCUGAGGAGCGAAAGGAGGAAUCCGCCCAAGGAGGGGCUCGCGUCUGAUUAGCUAGUUGGUGAGGUAAUAGCUUACCAAGGCCGUGAUCAGUAGCUGGUCCGAGAGGAUGAUCAGCCACACUGGGACUGAGACAAGGCCCAGACUCCUACGGGAGGCAGCAGUGGGGAAUUUUCCGCAAUGGGCGAAAGCCUGACGGAGCAAUGCCGCGUGGAGGUAAAAGGCCUACGGGUCAUGAACUUCUUUUCCUGGAGAAGAAACAAUGACGGUAUCUGGGGAAUAAGCAUCGGCUAACUCUGUG